GACGAACGCUGGCGGCGUGCUUAACACAUGCAAGUCGAACGAAGAGCGAUGGACGCUUGCUUCUAUCAAUCUUAGUGGCGCACGGGUGAGUAACGCGUAUUCAACCUGCCCUUCAGAGGGGGACAACAGUUGGAAACGACUGCUAAUACCGCAUACGAUCUGACCUCGGCAUCGAGGAUAGAUGAAAGGUGGCCUCUAUUUAUAAGCUAUCACUGAAGGAGGGGAUUGCGUCUGAUUAGCUAGUUGGAGGGGUAACGGCCCACCAAGGCGAUGAUCAGUAGCCGGUCUGAGAGGAUGAACGGCCACAUUGGGACUGAGACACGGCCCAGACUCCUACGGGAGGCAGCAGUGGGGAAUCUUCCGCAAUGGACGAAAGUCUGACGGAGCAACGCCGCGUGAGUGAUGACGGCCGUCGGGUUGUAAAGCUCUGUUAAUCGGGACGAAAGGCCUUCUUGCGAAUAGUUAGAAGGAUUGACGGUACCGGAAUAGAAAGCCACGGCUAACUACGUG
rnacentral:rRNA from 1 species